CUUUUUUCCCUCGGAGUUGUUGUCAGCGCAAACCCCUGACGUUGAUACGCGUGUCUGGAGGAUGCCGCUGUGUUCUGUGUGUGAAUAUGUAUCUGUCAAUGUGUGUAGAGUCAAAAAUAAAGUGUCUUGGCGGUUGUGUCGGACCUUCGCGUGUUUCCAGGGGACCAUAUAGGGGGCGGACGUGUAAACAUGUGGAGCGUGCUGCUCACUCGCCAUAAAGCUCACCUAGCAGAGCGCUGGUGCAGCUGAGUGCUGCGUGUAACUUCAGCAUGUGUUCAGGAAACGUGAUCUACCGGUGUAACGAGCCGAGGACAGCGCACACCGAGGCUCCGCUCGCUGCCUCACUACGUGUGCUUAGUGCCCUCGCGUGAAAUAGGUGUAUAUGCUCGACAGCCCAGCCUUUUAGUGGAGGUAUGAAAUUACUGUUCCUUGCCUGCCUCAGCCCUCAAACUGGGAACCACACCACAGCUGAGAGGAUCAGGUCCUAUAUAGAGUCAGCAGGACACACGUGUGAGCUCAGGGAUGCAGCAGAAUUUCAGUCCCCUGCUGAGGUGGCGAACUUAGUAUCCCAGAAUCCUCCAUUUGAGGCUGCACUGGCCAUUCACCUGUUCAAGGCAGCUAGACUCCUCCUGGACAUCCAGGUACCCUUCGGCGUCGUCUUUGGCGGAACCGACAUAAAUGAAGAUGUGAAAGUGAAACAGAAGCGUGUGGUUAUGGAGCAGGUGCUGCUGAAAGCCAGGUUUGCUGUUGCAUUUACUGACAAACUAAAAGAAGAUGCAGAGAUGUCUUUGCUGUCCCAGGGCAGUAAAAUCUAUGUCCAGCCCCAAGGUAUCCAGACGUACGUGACUGACAAAUUCUCCUGGACAGAAUUCUUGAGGAGCUCAGGUGUAAGCACUGAGCAUGCGGAUGAGCUGCGUGUCUUCCUGUUGGUCUGUGGCCUCAGAAGAGUCAAGGACCCCCUCUAUCUGGUGAAGGUAUUUUCAGAGUGGCACUGUGAGAAUCCACUGAAUGUGCUGAUCAUUAUUGGGCCAAAGAUUGAUCCUGUGUUUACUGUCGAAUUGGAAGCUGUUGUUCAAAGCAGGGGUCUUCCUGGCCCAGGAGAGGAGCCAACAGGAGCUUCACGCUGCCAUGAAAAGGUGCUUCGCCAUGGUCAACAGCUCCAUCUCAGAGGGCAUGUCAGCAGCGAUCUUGGAGGUAAACAUCUUCAGGGCUCAUGGGUAAUUGUAGGACACCGUGUCGUGCCUUCGACAUUUAUGCUGUUAAAUUCAAUUUAUCGUUCUGUUGCUCCUGCAUUGUGGUGCAGAUUAACAUUAAGGGAAUGAGAACUCGAUUUAUCGGAUGUGAGUAUUUACAGGAGUCCUUAUCCCUGCUACAAUGUUAUCUGACCACCUCAGGGACAAUUACCCAAAUUAAUUGCUUGACUCAAAUCUUCCCAUUCCUGAGUGAGCAAAACCUGCAAAUCCACUUAAUCUCUUUUAAACACAGUCGAUUAAGACAAUCCACAGUGGGCUUAAAGUCUGAUUAGUAUGUUAACAUGUUUCACUCAACAACCUGCUGAAGGUAUUAGCGGAUACAGAUGUUAAUUCUGUAAGUGAACUCAACUCGGCACCGAAGUGUAGAGGAGCCGAGCAGCACAAUUUCCACGGAGCUCAGGUGCUUUUCUUUUUUAAUCCCUUGAUGAGAAUAUAAAGAGUGAGUAACUUUUGUCCGUACUUAUUUCGAAUCUCAGUGUUUGAGACUUUUGAGUGUGUAAUGUUCUUUCUGCUCCAAUAGGCCAUGGACCUCGGGGUACCUGUGCUGGCCAGGGACAUUCCAGGAAAUUCAGCUGUGGUGCAGCAUGAGUUCACUGGCCUGUUGUACUCGUCUCCUAAGGAAUUUGUGCAUCAAGCUCAGAGGCUGUUGUCAGAUGACGAGCUGAGAGAG